rnacentral:rRNA from 1 species
GAUGAACGCUGGCGGCGUGCUUAACACAUGCAAGUCGAACGAUGAAGCCCAGCUUGCCGGGUGGAUUAGUGGCGAACUGGUGAGUAACACGUGAGUAACCUGCCCUUAACUCUGGGAUAAGCCUGGGAAACUGGGUCUAAUACCGGAUAGGAGCGUCCACCGCAUGGUGGGUGUUGGAAAGAUUUAUCGGUUUUGGAUGGACUCGCGGCCUAUCAGCUUGUUGGUGAGGUAAUGGCUCACCAAGGCGACGACGGGUAGCCGGCCUGAGAGGGUGACCGGCCACACUGGGACUGAGACACGGCCCAGACUCCUACGGGAGGCAGCAGUGGGGAAUAUUGCACAAUGGGCGCAAGCCUGAUGCAGCGACGCCGCGUGAGGGAUGACGGCCUUCGGGUUGUAAACCUCUUUCAGUAGGGAAGAAGCGAAAGUGACGGUACCUGCAGAAGAAGCACCGGCUAACUACGUG